CGGGACACCGAGGUCAGAAUGUGGGCUGCUGUCGGGACACCGAGGUCAGAAUGUAGGCUGAUGCCCCUGGCAUCAGGAUGUGGAGGUCCGUCUACAGGCUGGUGCCCCAGUACUACAUGGCAACUGCUAGGCAGUAACCAGAAGGCUGCAUCUUCCUUCUUGGACUUACAUAUAUGAACAGAAAAGUUUCUGCAGGAGCCCAGCCAGGCACCCAUUUGGAUUCUGGAACCUGAACUGAGCCUGAGAGUUUGGAGAGAUUCAGCUUCAGGGUCAGGCUGACAUUUCUAAGAGAGCAGUGGGGAUCUCUUCUUUCAGAAGCCAGAAAAAUCUGUGAAGGCACAAAGUCUGGUGCCCAGCCUCCUGAGCCCCAGCAGCCACUGUAACCCCAGCUGGCAUCUCUCCAGCUGAAGCUAAUUCACCACCAGGACAUGGCGUGGGCCCGGAAGAGCAGCUAACUCUGCCGGAGGUCACAAGGCAAGGAGCACUGCAAUUGGCUUGACUGGUUCCUCGUGGGAUAGUCAGAUGUUCUCAGAUCCCUGUCAUCAACCCCACUGCAAGAUGCCACAGGUACUCUGUUAUCCGUAGUCCUGAUCACUGCCUGUCGUCCAUCCUUCCUGGCUCAAGGCAACAGACCCAAGCCCCCUUGUCCCCAAGGUACACCUAACUCAUAAGGAGUCUUAGUCCAGGGACUGGGAUCCAGUUUCUCAUUUACUUACCUGGGAAGAUGAUCAUUUUGUUCUUGGUUUUGCAACAAUUAUUUUCUCCACGGGGCAGAUCAGGACAUUGACAUUAACUGUGAUGUACCUCAUCCUAUUAAAAAGGUGCUAGAAACCCCCAA